AAAAAAAUCCUUUAGAAAUUUUUGAAAAGUUACUAAAUUAGGAAAAUCUCUCUAUAAAUUAAUAAAUAUUAAUUUAUCGAUAAAUUAAAACUUCUCUAA
rnacentral:sRNA from 1 species